ACUGUAUCCUUCAUAGGAAGUGUUCCAAAAGAGUAUUAGGAAAGAAUCACAGUUGGACCGCAACAGACCUUUCCUGAAAUCUCUCCCGACUAGUAUUGAUUCAGUUUAGAAGUGGGGAAUAACAACAACAGCAGGUAGUUGGGCAGGAGAACUAAUUUGUGGACAUCAGUGUUCUGUCUUCAUGCGAUUCUGACAAGAACCUCUUCCUUCUUUUUUUCCACUGCUCGGGACCGCUCCUUCCAGGCAGAGGCAAGCGGAGAUCUGCUUUCACAGCAGUGGCCCCUGUUAAGAGACUGCGGAGUCAUCCACUUUGCGGUUGAAUGGAGAAAGGACAUGUCUUACCGGCCAACUAACAAGCUUCUUCAGGACCUGCCCAACUCCCAGAUAAUGAGUACAUCUUAUUUCAUUUCCUUUUACACCCAACCGUUCCCUAAAGUACCUGUUUGAAGUGAUAAGUUAUCUUUGGAAAUUGAUUUAUGUUCCAAAUUAAAAGUAUCAGUUUUGUUUUGUUAGUUUUCCAGCGAUAUUUCCAAAUAAAAAUUCUGAGACUUCUUUGCC